UUGUCUGCCUUUAGCAGUGCAAUCGUAAUCAUCAGGUCUUUGAAUUUGAAAGUGGACGCAUGCUGAAAAAGUAAGACCGCAGAUCGAGACUCCAAUUACAGACCUUCAUGCCUAGAGAAUACGAACUAUCAAAGAUACAGGCACAGAAACACUUGGAUCAAACUGCUGAGCCACUGGAGGUGCAAAUGUUUUUGCUGAUUUCUGCAAGAGCUCCACUCCACUUUCAGAUGCCAAUGGUGAGUCCUAGGAUUAUCCCUCCAUGUAUCCCUUUUGUCCCAAUCUCCCCUUGGUCCUUGAGAAUGUACACAAAUAUAC
rnacentral:lncRNA from 1 species